GAGUUUGAUCCUGGCUCAGGACGAACGCUGGCGGCGUGCUUAACACAUGCAAGUCGAACGAAGCUUGAUUUAUGAUUUCUUCGGAAUGAAUAAUGAUAUGACUGAGUGGCGGACGGGUGAGUAACGCGUGAGCAACCUACCCUUCGGAGGGGGAUAGCGUCUGGAAACGGACGGUAAUACCGCAUAAAGUGUCUUGACCGCAUGAUCGAGAUACCAAAACUGAGGUGCCGAAGGAUGGGCUCGCGUUGGAUUAGAUAGUUGGUGGGGUAACGGCCUACCAAGUCGACGAUCCAUAGCCGGACUGAGAGGUUGAUCGGCCACAUUGGGACUGAGACACGGCCCAGACUCCUACGGGAGGCAGCAGUGGGGAAUAUUGCACAAUGGGGGAAACCCUGAUGCAGCGACGCCGCGUGGAGGAAGAAGGUCUUCGGAUUGUAAACUCCUGUUGUUGAGGAAGAUAAUGACGGUACCCAACAAGGAAGUGACGGCUAACUACGUGCCAGCCGCCGCGGUAAUAC
rnacentral:rRNA from 1 species